rnacentral:misc_RNA from 1 species
GAUGAAUAACGUAGCGAAAUGCGAUAAGUAAUGUGAAUUGCAGAAUUCAGUGAAUCAUCGAAUCUUUGAACGCACAUUGCGCCCGCCAGUAUUCUGGCGGGCAUGCCUGUUCGAGCGUCAUUUCAACCAUCAAGCCCCCGGCUUGUGUUGGGGACCUGCGGCUGCCGCAGGCCCUGAAAACCAGUGGCGGGCUCGCUAGUCACUCCGAGCGUAGUAAUACAUCUCGCUCAGGGCGUGCUGCGGGUUCCGGCCGUUAAAAAGCCUUAUUUACCCAAGGUUGACCUCGGAUCAGGUAGGAAGACCCGCUGAACUUAAGCAUAUCAAUAAGCGGAGGA